rnacentral:rRNA from 1 species
UGGGGGAUAUUGCACAAUGGGCGAAAGCCUGAUGCAGCGACGCCGCGUGGGGGAUGAAGGCUUUCGGGUUGUAAACCUCUUUCGCUAUCGAACAAGGCCCGCUUAGGGUGGGUUGAGGGUAGGUGGAGAAGAAGCGCCGGCUAACUACGUGCCAGCAGCCGCGGUAAUACGUAGGGCGCGAGCGUUGUCCGGAAUUAUUGGGCGUAAAGGGCGUGUAGGCGGCUUGUUGCGCCUGCUGUGAAAACGCGGGGCUUAACUUCGCGCGUGCAGUGGGUACGGGCAGGCUUGAGUGUGGUAGGGGUGACUGGAAUUCCAGGUGUAGCGGUGGAAUGCGCAGAUAUCUGGGGGAACACCGAUGGCGAAGGCAGGUCACUGGGCCAUUACUGACGCUGAGGAGCGAAAGCAUGGGUAGCGAACAGG